UUGCUUUGGCAGCACUUAACUGGCACAAUACAGAGAAGAUUAGCAUGACCCCUGCACAAAGAUGACAUGAAAAUUUGUGAAGUGUUCCAUGUUUAA
rnacentral:snRNA from 1 species